rnacentral:tRNA from 1 species
GCCUGGGUGGCUCAGUCAGUUAAGUGUCUGACUUUGGCUCAGGUCAUGAUCUCUCGGUUUGAGGGUUCAAGUCCCACGUCAGGCU